CGUUAGAACAUCGGUUCCCGUACGAUAACCGAAGUCAAGCAACGUCGAGCCGUGUCAGUACUUAGAUGGGAGGUCACUUGGGAAUAUGAGGUGCUACAA